rnacentral:snRNA from 1 species
UUGCUUUGGUAGCACAUCUACUAAAAUUAGAACAAUAAAGAGAAUAUUAGCAUGGCCCCUGCACAAGAAGGACGUGCAAAUUCAUGAAGUGUUCCGUAUUAAA